AUUGAACGCUGGCGGCAGGCCUAACACAUGCAAGUCGAGCGAGCGGCGGACGGGUGAGCAAUGUAUGGGGAACUGCCUGAUGGAGGGGGCUAACUACUGGAAACGGUAGCUAAUACCGCAUACCAUCAGAUGAACCAAAAUGGGAUUAGCUUGUGGGUGAGGUAACGGCUCACGUAGGCGACGAUCCCUACCUGGUCUGAGAGGAUGACCAGCAACAUUGGAACUGAGACACGGUCCAGACUCCUACGCGAGGGAGCAGUGGGGAAUAUUGCACAAUGGGCUAAAGCCUGAUCCAGCCAGGCCGCGUGUAUGAAGCAGGCCUUCGGGUUGUAAAGUACUUUCAGUCGGGAGGCGUUACCGACAGAAGAAGCACCGGCUAACUCCGUGCCAGCCGCCGCGGUAAUUC
rnacentral:rRNA from 1 species